GGAGACGUAUCGAAGAGGCCGUAACGAGACUGACUCGAAAUCAGUUUGUCCGAAAGGGCACGAGGGUUCGAAUCCCUCCGUCUCCG
rnacentral:tRNA from 1 species